rnacentral:sRNA from 1 species
UACGCGAUGCCGAAGUCGGGUCGCGUGAUGACUGAACUCGCUGAAUCUCAGGAGAUGUAUCAUGACU